rnacentral:rRNA from 1 species
UACGUAGGGUGCAAGCGUUAAUCGGAAUUACUGGGCGUAAAGCGUGCGCAGGCGGUUAUGUAAGACAGGUGUGAAAUCCCCGGGCUUAACCUGGGAACUGCAUUUGUGACUGCAUAGCUAGAGUACGGCAGAGGGGGAUGGAAUUCCGCGUGUAGCAGUGAAAUGCGUAGAUAUGCGGAGGAACACCGAUGGCGAAGGCAAUCCCCUGGGCCUGAUACUGACGCUCGAUGACACGAAAAGCGUGGGGAGCAAACAGGA